GACGAACCGUGCGAACGUUGUUCGGAAUCACUGGGCAUAAAGGGCUCGUAGGCGGCCAACUAGGUCAUACGUGAAAUCCCUCGGCUUAACCGGGGAACUGCGUCUGAUACUGGAUGGCUUGAGUUCGGGAGAGGGAUGCGGAAUUCCAGGUGUAGCGGUGAAAUGCGUAGAUAUCUGGAGGAACACCGGUGGCGAAGGCGGCAUCCUGGACCGACACUGACGCUGAGGAGCGAAAGCCAGGGGAGCAAACGGG
rnacentral:rRNA from 1 species